rnacentral:rRNA from 1 species
UACCAGCACCCCGAGUGGUCGGGACGUUUAUUGGGCCUAAAGCAUCCGUAGCCGGUUCUACAAGUCUUCCGUUAAAUCCAACUGCUUAACAGGUGGGCUGCGGAGGAUACUAUAGAGCUAGGAGGCGGGAGAGGCAAGCGGUACUCGAUGGGUAGGGGUAAAAUCCGUUGAUCCAUUGAAGACCACCAGCGGCGAAGGCGGCUUGCCAGAACGCGCUCGACGGUGAGGGAUGAAAGCUGGGGGAGCAAACCGG